rnacentral:rRNA from 1 species
CCCUUAGAUGUUCUGGGCCGCACGCGCGCUACACUGACAAAGGCAACGAGCUACUCUUCACCGAAAGGUGUGGGUAAUCUUUUGAAACUUUGUCGUGCUGGGGAUAGAUCCUUGCAAUUUUUGAUCUUAAACGAGGAAUUCCUAGUAAGCGCAAGUCAUCAACUUGCGUUGAUUACGUCCCUGCCCUUUGUACACACCGCCCGUCGCUACUACCGAUUGAAUGGUUUAGUGAGGCCUUCGGAUCCGCGACUCGUUUGUGGAGAAGUUGGACAAACUCAGUCAUUUAGAGGAAGUAAANGUCGUNACA